GUCUACAGCCAUGCCACCUUGAACAAGUCCCAUGUCUCCGACGCUAACUAAGCAGGGUAGGUCCUGGUUAGUACUUGGAUGGGAGACCACCUAGGAAGACCAGGUGUUGUAGGCA
rnacentral:rRNA from 1 species